CAGGCUGUCAUUGAACAAUCCUUCUGCCUCAGCCUCCGGAGUGCUGAGAUUAUAGGCAUUUGCCACCACGCCCAGCUGGAAGCUUUUUAAAAAGUGGCUGCAGGAACUGGAAGUGGCCAGGGCAGCUGUUCCAGGAAGGAUCACACCAGGGGAUCACAACACGAGCAGCCACCCCCAGCCCAAUUCUUGUCUUCAGACUCAAUAUUCCCUAGAGCCAAGAAAGGCCCACAGCUCACCGAGCCCUCUCCAGAAAUAAAAUGCUGUUUAU
rnacentral:lncRNA from 1 species